rnacentral:lncRNA from 1 species
GGGUGUCUUCUUUGGGUGAAGACUAAUUUUUCUUCCUUCUUUUGUUCUUUCUCGAUGUAACAUCUUUAAUAGAAUAGAAAAAAACUUUUCCUAUUGUUAUCUUUCUUUGGCAUAUCUAGAUCCGUGACUUGAUCUGUCCUGCAAUGUAGGGUGGAUAGCUAUUCAGUGUUGACCUUACACUAGUUUGGAAGUCACGCUGGGAUGCUUUGCCUCCCUGAUCAUGUUUGGCAUCAUGCUCUGCACUAAUUCUAGUUGUUUGGCGGGUUUGGCACUGACGUUAUCUUGCAAAUCUUAGAACAUUUAUUACUCUGCCAAUCCAUGCAUCUACCUUCUCAAAAGACUAGGUGAUCAUUUAAUGCUGCAAUCUCUAAACGGUCCUCCAUCGAGAGGAGCACAUGAAGCAUCAUUUUCCCAGGGGGUGCGAUCUUCUAAGGCUGUUGGAUGCAUGCCAUCGAGCAAUCAGAGAGGAGUCAAAGGGUUGUGAUUCUUCUUAGACUCUCUCUAUGAAUAGGAGGAAAGCCCAGGCCUCCUACCCAAAACUUCUUCCAACCUUGGCGAAGAUGUCAGAGGAAAAAUCGUCAAUGCAAUUCCAGUUGGUGAGAUGAUAUGGUGGAAUUAUUUCCUACUCUUUGGCAGUCUAUGAGGUCUCUUUGAUUGGAUGCAAGAGACAUUUGUGGGAGCCACUAUUCUAGCUAUGGGAUCACAGUCAGG